rnacentral:misc_RNA from 1 species
AAUUAUACUAUUUCUCUUUGUUGUUUUUUUGGGAUAAAUAAUAAUUUCUAGAAGUGCAGUUAACCAUCUUUUCCUGUAGAAGGAAAGUCUUUGGUUUUUUUAUCAUUAGAAGCUUCUGGUUAUUUUCUGUUCUUGCAUUGAUCAUGGUUGAUACCAUAUUUAACAGGAAAAAAUUUGCUAAAAAAGCUUGUUGACUGAAAAUUUCUCUUAAUUUUCCAGGUCUAAGGAUGCA